GAUACAGUCGAUCUCGGGGUCGUCGUGCCUAUCUCGCCGCAGGAACAAGAACGAGAGUAAUCGCGCUUCUUCUUGGGAGGCUUUCCGUUUCUUUCAUUUACGUCCUGGACGAACAGUCGGAGAGCUCUAGUGUCGGAGUGCGAGCGCAGGAAGAAGGGGGAAUAUCAGUCGGUAGAGGGUGCUCAAUCAACGGUGUAACCUGCGCUACGUGGGGUCUGUUCCGCAGAAUAUUUUUC
rnacentral:lncRNA from 1 species